AACUGCUCUGGCGAUGCCCUCCCUCUAUAUCCCUGCCUCUCUGCGCGCUGCUUCUUAUCCAUCCCCGUGCGGCCGUGCCCAAUGGCUUGUACCGGCAGCUGCAAGGGAUGGCCGGAGAGCGCACUGCUGCGGGAGCCGACCGAAUAUGCCGCUGCUGCACCGCCACAUGUCUCUGGCUGCUAGUAGCAGGGAGACGACGAACUACACAAGCAGCAGAGCAACGACGAGAUCGACGAGCCUGACGACAACGGCAAGCUAGAGUCUCCCCCGACGAGCUCGACGAGGAAUAGGACGACGGCGAUGUCUCAGAGCAGCACGGUCGACCUCGGCGCCCUCCUGCCUGGCGUAGCCGCACUAGCAAAACCCAAGAUGCUGUCCAACCAAGUUUGUGUAUCCACAUUGCUUCUGAUGGCAUUGAAAGCUUCUACAAAGGCUUCCUCUUCCUCAUACUUGUACAUGCAAGCACUGAAAUCAGCAAGUACAUUUGGUCCCUCCUCGUCUUUUUUCUUAUGAGGUACAAUUCCUGAAUCAUCUGCUGUUUUAAUUUCAAAUGCUUGCAAGGCCGAAAUCUUCCGUUGUGACGGCAUCAAGUGGCUUGUCCCAGCUACAAGGAGGACGAUCAGGACAAAAGUAAGAUAGAAGGGAAAUCAUCUACAACAGGCACACACCAACGUACCUUGGUCUUGUUCUCGCUAGAGAGGACGUGUGGGAGGAACAAGGGAGACAAGCAGGAGGAGGCGCCGAGGAAAUUGUCAACACGUUCUGAUUGGCCACAACGUUAGUUCAGCAGAAGCGAGAUCUCUACAACACGUUCAGAUCAGCAUACCUUGGUCUCAUUUUUUCUCCGAGGAGGACCAUCAGGAGGAAGACGACGCGUGGGAGGAUUUUGGCGCCAAGAAACUAUCAGCUCGCUCUAUUUGGCGCCAGCGUUUAUGUGUUUGGCGGCAAUUGUACAACCGUGGGAGAUUUUCCUCCGGACUAAUAGGGAUUUUUGUUCUAAUUAUUCAUAGAAUUAAGAGGGGAGAAAGGAGAGCCAUCUGAUUAAAAUAGACGGCAGAUGCUAGACGCUACAGCACGUGUACAGUAAUAACUGUACUGCAGAGGAACCGAACCCCUUUGCAACAUGACACUGGCCUAACAGGAUUAUAACC